rfam:TPA: Bos taurus chromosome 3, whole genome shotgun sequence.
UCCCUGGUGGUCCAGUGGCUGGGACUCCAUGCUCCCAAUGUGGGAGGCCCAGGUUCGAUUCCUAACAGGGAA